GGCCCUUCCACUUGACUGGCCGGCCCCGCGCAGAGCCUGGCGGCUCGGGCCCCACCCACGGCUCAGCGCCCAACCCUAACGGCCCCGCUCCUCUGCGGGCACCGGGCCAUCCCGAGCAGCCCCUCCUGGGAGACCCAGCCUGAGAGCCACCCCUUACAGAAAAGGAAACUGAGGCCCGUGCAGCCGCCUGACGUUGAGGAAACGGGCCGAGAGCUUCCAAGGCCUGGGGCCUCAGGCCAGGACACAGCCCUCUGCACCUCCGUGUCCCCGUCCGUCAGACAUAGGCGAGACCCUGUCCUACCCCCCGUGGUUGCGCCACUCGGGACGAGGGACCCGAGGCCAGAGCACAGGACCUGCCUGCCCAGGUGCCUACGCAGGGCACAGCCCCAGAGAUCCUGGAGGACCAGCGACCGUGCGCCCGGCCCCCAGCACAGACCCAGGACGGAGGGGGUCUGUCAUCGUCCUCGCGGCGGACUUGACUUUGCCGUUCGGGACACCUCACACACGUAACCUCGUCUGAUGACGGUUCCAGCUCCCGAGGGAGACCUGAGUGCCAGGCGUCACCACCCCCCCGCACCAUCCCUCCCAGCAGCCCUGGGAUAACGGCAAGAGAGGGUCGCUCUGACCCAGGUACUCGGCAAAAACGGAAGGCCAGGUGGAGAAGUGCCCAGCCCAAGUUCCCCAUGGCUCGUGGUCCGCUGACACGGCCGAGGGUCACUCAGUCACAUGACCAGUGGGUGAACCCGGAACACCACCCCCCCACCCCACCCCCCGCCGCAGCUGGAUGGGGGGCUGCAGGGCAGGGAGCUCGGGCACGGCCACGCCUCCCAGACCGAGCUCUCCCAUCCAAGAUGCUCUUACGCACUGGUCCCUGGACCCCAGUUCCCCAGAAAAUGAGCUGGAAGACAAAUUUUCGCUGGAAUGUUACUGACUGCUCAGCUCUUAGCUUGCUCCUUCUGACAGGAUUAGCGCCGGGAAGGGAACCCUGGAGAAGACCACGUCUGAGCGCUGAGAUCUCAGACAUCCUGGCCACUGCUACUGAGGGUCCCCCAAAACCAUGACUCUGUCUAGCACACACAGCCUCACGACCGGGCCCCUCCCUGUCACUCUAGCACCUUCCCCAUACACCCUACCCCGGAGCCCAGGCCCCAGCCCCACUCCGCUGACCCCAGGAGGGACAACCGUCCCUGUCCCCUCCCUUGGCCUCAGGUCCCCUCAGGCUGGGCCAGGGGGUCCCUCCACACACUGGGAGCUGGUGCUGAAGGGGAAGAGGACAGGACAGGAUGGACAUCACCCACUCCCCUUUGUCCAUCUGGGGAAACUGAGGCCCAGGGACAGGCACACACCGUCCUGUGUCUCACACCACCCCUAGACCUUGAGUACGGCCAAGGGGUCUGAGACAUACCAUCAAAAGCACAGGGGACUUAGAGGGGCACCAGUGACCCAGGCUUCUGCCUCCCACCUCUGGCACCGUGGGCCCCUCUGCGGCUUCCUUGUGCCGCUGAGGCCUCUCCGAGUCUCACCACACCCCUUGGGCACCCACUUGCACGCACACUCUUGAGGCCUUGGCCCAGGGCAAGGAAAGAAAGAGCAUCGAGAUCAUCAGCCCUAGCCUGGCGCUGGAGCCCUGGUCACCAGGCUGAGACACAGUCACCAAAAGUUGCCAAAGAUGGCCCUGACUUGGAUCACCUGAAGGUUUCAAAGAUUGGGCGUGUUAAAUACCAUGGGGGAAAUACCGAACACUUGUGGUGCGGGUGGCCGGGGUCCAGGUUUUACCAUCUCGGCCACGCAGACUCUCCCACCCCGCCCCAGGCCACCUGCCAGGACUCCCCGGGAUCCACCAGCAUGGCCGGAGCAGCCCAGCCGGAGGCAAUGUCGCCCCCAGGGACCGGGA